UGUGAUGAGUUAUAUGUGUGAAUGUAGUAUGGUAGGUGGGGGAAGGUUAAAGGAGGACAGUGUAGAAGUGUGAUGAGUUAUAUGUGUGAAUGUAGUAUGGUAGGUGGGGAAGGUUACAGGACAGUGUAGAAGUGUGAUGAGUUAUAUGUGUGAAUGUAGUAUGGUAGGUGGGGAAGGUUAAAGGAGGACAGUGUAGAAGUGUGAUGAGUUAUAUGUGUGAAUGUAGUAUGGUAGAUGGGGAAGGUUAAAGGAGGACAGUGUAGAAGUGUGAUGAGUUAUAUGUGUGAAUGUAGUAUGGUAGGUGGGGGAAGGUUAAAGGAGGACAGUGUAGAAGUGUGAGGAGUUAUAUGUGUGAAUGUAGUAUGGUAGGUGGGGAAGGUUACAGGAGGACAGUGUAGAAGUGUGAUGAGUUAUAUGUGUGAAUGUAGUAUGGUAGGUGGGGAAGGUUAAAGGACAGUGUAGAAGUGUGAUGAGUUAUAUGUGUGAAUGUAGUAUGGUAGGUGGGGAAGGUUAAAGGACAGUGUAGAAGUGUGAUGAGUUAUAUGUGUGAAUGUAGUAUGGUAGGUGGGGGAAGGUUACAGGAGGACAGUGUAGAAGUGUGAUGAGUUAUAUGUGUGAAUGUAGUAUGGUAGGUGGGGAAGGUUACAGGACAGUGUAGAAGUGUGAUGAGUUAUAUGUGUGAAUGUAGUAUGGUAGGUGGGGGAAGGUUAAAGGAGGACAGUGUAGAAGUGUGAUGUGUUAUAUG